rnacentral:lncRNA from 1 species
AUAAUUUUAUUUUAUUUUUAAUUAAAUUUAAUUAAAAUAUAUAUAAAUUAUUUUUUUAAUUAUUUUUUGUCGGUAACGGAUAUUCACAGGUCGGAUAGUAUACUAUCUCUACCCGUCUCGUUUUGAAAGCGAGUAUUAAAAUACCCGCUACCCGUUAUCCGCAGAUAGUUAAUAUCUGCAAAUAGUAAUACUGGCUGCAGAUUUUAUCCGUAGAUAUCCCUGCCCGUGAAUUUUUUUGUCAUCUCUAAUUAUUACUCAUAGG